UAUGUGUAGCACAUGGGUUGAUCCACAUUGUUGUAAAUAGUUCCUAACAAUAAAAUCCAGAAAAAUUCAAGAAAUUCAAAGUUAAGAAGUUGAUCUGAUUGAAUCUUUUCACUUAUUCAUACAGGUACUAAAAAUUUUUUGUGCACUAUAAGACAGACACUGUGCAAGACAGUGGAAGAAACAAAUAAGAAAUAUGGGCUUUAAGAACAAGAUGCUACACCCACUGGGAAACAAGUGAGGUUCAACAUAAGCUCUGGGUCAAAGAAAUCUGUGACUAUGUGGCAGCUCAUAGAAGGUGCACGGAAUCCAGAGACAUAAUAAAGGUAGAGAUAAAGUGACAACAAUAACAACAGUCAUUAAAGAUGAAGAUGACAGAGCAAAGGCUAAGAAAUUCUCAAGUGUCACCUACCACAAGUACAGAGUUAAAGCAGCUUGAAGAACCAAAAAAUUCAAAAUUCAAAAUUAACCCCAAGACAUUGCUCACAGUCUCUGUGAUAAAUGACAAACAACUGUUCUGCCUCUCAGAAGAUUACAUUUCCCCUGUCUAAAGUAUUAUUUACUUGGAUCAAUAUGGAAUGAAAAUACGAUGAGUUGAGGAAUGA